UUUUCUUGGUCCAUCUCCCUUAUUUCUUCCUCUUCUAUGAUAGCCUUCUAAGAACACAAAAUGUGUGACGCAGCAAGUUAUUGUUGAUAGCAUCCUCCUGGGCCACACCACCGGUGAAUGAUUGAAUCCACUCCCAUAAAGUCUUUAGACGAAUUUAGUUUGCUUGGCAAACAAAUGAUUAGAACGAAAGCAAUGCGCGCCCACCCGCGCAAACCCCAACAACCCACUAUUCUUUUUGGAGGAAAAAGGUGGGCAAAAAGCCUGUGGAGCUGCUUUCUUGAGAUACAGAAAGGAGAAG
rnacentral:lncRNA from 1 species